AAACCAACAGGGAUUGCCUCAGUAGCGGCGAGUGAAGCGGCAAAAGCUCAGAUUUGAAAUCGUGUUUCGGCACGAGUUGUAGAUUGCAGGUUGGAGUCUUUGUGGAAGCGUGUGUCUAAGUCCCUUGGAACAGGGUGCCAUUGAGGGUGAGAGCCCCGUGAGACGCGUGCGGAAGCUGUAAGGCCCUUCUGACGAGUCGAGUUGUUUGGGAAUGCAGCUCUAAGUGGGUGGUAAAUUCCAUCUAAGGCUAAAUAUUGGCGAGAGACCGAUAGCGAACAAGUACUGUGAAGGAAAGAUGAAAAGCACUUUGAAAAGAGAGUGAAACAGCACGUGAAAUUGUUGAAAGGGAAGGGUAUUGGGCUCGACAUGGGAUUUGCGCACCGCUGCUCCUUGUGGGCGGCGCUCUGUGCUUUUUCCUGGGCCAGCAUCGGUUUUUGCCGCAGGAGAAGGCGUGCUGGAAUGUGGCUCUUCGGAGUGUUAUAGCCAGUGCGAGAUGCUGCGUGCGGGGACCGAGGACUGCGACAUCUGUCUCGGAUGCUGGCACAACGGCGCAAUACCGC
rnacentral:rRNA from 1 species